AUUAAUAAUAUUUAUAAGACUUUGCUAUUUUUCAUCUUCUUUUAAAUUAUCUCCGACUAAGAGAGCUAUACUUCCUCUUCAACCUAAACCCUAACAUCUCUCUCUGUGAAGUGUAACCUCUUCAGCUCAAACCUUGGUUGGUUCAAGAAAGAAAACGAUUCUACAGCUAUACAUUAUACCUUUUCUUUCUGACAAUACUGCUGUCAUUGGAGCUAAAAAACCCAACACUGUGGAAGUUUUUUACUAAUGGAAAUGUUUUAAAAAUUAAAGCUUUUCAACUACCCAACUGGCAUGAGGGAAUUCUUCAACUUAAGACCCCUAAUUUUAUGAGAAUUAACAUAUAUUUUUGCUUUCUUUUUUUUGAAAUUGGCUAAUCAAGUGAAAGUGAGACAGAGUUGGAAUUAAAUUUGUGAUUUGUAGUUCUUUCUUUUGUAUUGUAUCGUAAUGUUGACAAAAUAACCAUUUUCAAAUUACAUGUUUGAGCUAUAAACUUAGUAUAAAAGUAGUUUCAUUAUUGUGUAAUUUUCUUUUCAUUAUUUUUUUUUAAUACAGUUCAGUCCACUUUGAUUGGUUAUGAACUCAUGGCUGAACAGAGUAGUAUAAACAACUGUGGUCUUCCGAAGAAAAAGAGAAUCAAAUUUAAGAGAACAUCGAUUGCUAAAGCUGAGGACAGAUUAUCUAAGCUACCUAAUAUAAUUCUUGUACAUAUUCUGUCAUUUCUCCUAACUACAAACGAUGUGGUUCGGACUUGUAUCCUUUCAAAGCAUUGGAAAUUGAUUUGGUAUUCACUUCCUAAACUCUCUUUCUGUGAUACUACUAAUACUGUUCUCGAAUUUCAAAAGUUCGAAAAUUAUGUUGACAAUUGUUUGGAACACCACAAGAAAGGUAUGUAUUUUAUUGCUGAUUCAGCUCUAAUUAGUUUCAAGCUUCAGAUAAAAAGCUUUCUAUGAAGCAAGGCUUGCAGUCUAGAUAAAUGGUUAAGCUUUGCAGUUAACAAUAAAAUCAAGGAACUGAGUCUUGACUUAGAACCAAGAAAUGGUAAGAGUGAGAAUGAUGGUUAUUACUGUUUUUACUACUACUGCUUACCUAAAACAGUAUUCAACUUAAGAGGUUUGACCAUUUUGGAGUUGUGUGGAAUUGAGUUGGGUUACUCAUUUGGUUUUCCAUCCUUGAAAUCAUUAUCAUUGGAACAUUUUCGGCUUUCAAAAAAUGUAACUGCUGAUGUGCUAACCAAGUCUUUCAUGGAUUGCCCUUCCCUUGAGAAAUUGUUGUUAAGUUUGUGUUUUACUCGUAAUCCGCUCCGAGUACAAAGUUCAAGCCUCAAGUUCAUGACACUUAAGUUUCCUAGUGUAUCUCAUCGAGUUGAAGCCAUAAAUGUUGAAUCUUUGGUGCUAUGUUGGGCUUUAUUUGGGAAAAUAAAUCUGUCUGCAUGUAAGGCAAUCAAAAAUCUCUCACUAGUUAAUUGUGAAUGGGAUAUGACAAGCCAGUCAUCAUUCGAAGAUCUCAUUACAAACCUCCCACUCCUUGAGGAUUUGACAAUUGAUAAUUCUUAUCAUAAGUCAGGAUUGGAGCAUCUUACAAUCUCAAAUCAACACUUGAAAAGCCUCAAAUUGAGAAAUAUGAACAAGGAGAGUGAUAUAAUCAAGGUUGUCACAAUUAAAUCAGUGCCAAACUUAGUUUCGUUUUGUUAUGAAGGUAAUAUUAAUUGCAGCAUAUCAAUAAAGACAUCCAAUUUUUUGAAUGGAAAAUUUGUCAUUGAUGAUCAUCAUCGCAAAUAUGACACAAAUUGGUUUAUGACUAUGAUGAUUUUUUUUUCUGAAUCUCAAUUGCUCGUGGAAUAUUGUAACACUGCAACUUUCUUCUGAUAAGGCGCUCAUCGUGCCAGACAAUUGUAAAAGGCUAUGUCGUUCUCCUUUACUCAAAUGGAAGCAUGUCAGAGUUCUUUUUGGUUCUUGCACAGGGAGAUUUUCAAGCGUGUUCAUGCGUAACUUAGCGAGAGAGUUACGAUUGAAAGAUGUGGUUAUGUGAAUUUCACCAUCCAUGGAAACAUUAUCUUUCAAUGGAGAAGACAUAUUCUAGCUAUCCUAUAUCAUAGCUGAUGUUCAAAUAUUAGUCAUUUUGAACUUGUAUAUAUUAUAUUAGUAUCUUAUUAGUUAUUACUAAUGAAGUUGACUAAUUUCAUGUUGCCUAGUUGGUUUGUUUUGAGGACUUAAAAGAAAGGGUGGUAGAAGUUUAAGUAUUAUACCCUUUGUUCUAAUGUAUUUUGGUGGCUCUCUUUGUUUUAAAUGAAAAUCCAAGUUAAUCGAGUUGACCCUUUUUUUUUUGUUUUUAACAAUAUAUCAUAAAUUUAUCUCCAUAUGUUGAAAUCUUAGAACAUUUUUUUUUUCCUUCUUUCAACAUUUACAAGUCUUAUCUUGCUUGAAAAUUGUUGAGGUUUAUAAUAUGGGGUUCUUGGUGAUGCAUUAUUUUUGUUUCUACCUUGUAUAGAGACAUUUUAUUAGUAUACUUCACAUUAAUUAGAAUACAAAAUAGUGGAUACUCAAAUAGAUAGAAACUCAAAUAGAUUGAACAGUUCUUCUAGAGUAGAGAAGAAAGUUUGAGGAAGAGUUUUAACCAAAUUUUUGGAUGAAAGGGUGAUAUUAUACGGUGUACUCCAAUGGGGAAUAUAUGUGUUUAUUUCAUUAGAUGAAAGAAAUCAAUUUCAUUAAAUCUCUGCCAACAAAAUGGCAUUCAACUCAAUAGGGACAACACCCCAUUGAUAAUACAAUCAGGACUAGAACAUGAAGAGCGAGCUAAUUAAUGAGCCACCUCGUUCCAAAUCAUUUAACUAAAGAAUAGCAACAUUCUAUAAAUUCUGAAGCAAACAUUUAUAAUCUGAAAAUAGUAAAGCAGCAGGAGAAAGUAAAUCAACAGAAGUAACCAUUGCUUGCACCAGCUGAAGUAGCUGGAAGUUGGUUCGAAGAGCCUGCAAUAUUAACCUUCCUUUUGAUCCAACUUAGGACUUCUUUCAAUCCAAUCGCUUCUUCAUUAAUAGUGAAAAAUAUACAUUUAAUAAGUUUAAAGUUUAAUAUAAAUUAAAAAUAAAUUAAUAUUUUUAUGAAAUUAAUAAGAUAUAUUUUUAUGUUGAAAUAUUUGAUUUAAUUUUAAUUUAUUAUUUUUUUUUGGAUAAUUUACAUGUAGGCACGUUUUUUUGUAUUUAAUAUUAAUAUUAACGUGAAUUUUCAAAAUAUUAAUAUUACCGUAUUUUUCUUACCGUUUUUUAUUCUUAUUAUUGAUUGUGUGUUGGGUACAAUAAAUUGCUUUUGAUGAUGUCAUAUUGACUCUCACAUCAUGAUAUGGGACAGAUUGAACACGUGAUGGAAAGUUUCAUAAUUUUGAAUACUGAUUUCCUUUUUUGUAGUUUGUUGGGACCUCAAAUAGAAUAGGGUAAAUUUAAUAGUUUAUAAUUUGUACAUUUAAUAGUUUUCUUCCACUUUUUUAGGAGUUUAUUGCAAUUUGAUAAAAUGUAAUAUUGAUACGAUAUAAUUUAGGGUUUAUUUUUUAUUUUUUAGGAUUUUAGUGAUGUAUGUUUGAAUGUGUUUUUGAUAAUGUAUACUUUAGGUUUUUUUUUUUUUUUUUGGCAUAUUAUAGGGUUUUAUAUUGUAUACUAUAAUUUUUUGCAUCUAAUUUAUUUUAUUGAUCAUAUAUUUGAUAAUUAAUAUAUUUUCUCUGCCACAAAUAUACAUGUCAAUUUAUAUAAUGUAAUUUUUGUAAAAACUUUUGUAUAUAUUUUUUUUAUUUAUUUUUGAGAAUUUUAUUUGAGCGGAUGUUAUUUUGGUACAAUAUACUUUAGGGUUUUUUAUUUUUUAUUUUUAAAAAAUGUGUUUGUACAUUAUAUAGGACCGUUAUGAAGGUGCAUUUUUCAUAUGAUUAUGAUAUAGUUUCAUUUUUAAGUUUGUUUUUGAAAAAAAAUUUACUGAGUAUAUUUUUGUAUCUAUAUUUAUUUUGGAAUUUUUAUGUGAUUUUGAUUUUGUAUGCUUAAUGGUUUUUUUUUCUUUAUUUUUUUUUAGAAUUUUAUUGAUUUCUGUUUGAAUGUUUUUGAUAUUGUUUACCUUAGGGUUUAUUUAUUUUUAUUAUUAUUUUGUAUGUUGUAACGUUAUAUAGUGUAUAUUAUAUUUUUUUUUUUUUGUAUUUGAUUAAAUUUAUUGAUCAAAUAUUUUAUGAUUAAAAUAAUCUUAAAAGUUAUUAUAACUUAUUAGUUUAUUUACAAAUUUUAUUUGUUUAUUAGCAAUGCGAGCUUCUUUUUUUUUAGUUUAUAGUAACUUAUUGUAAAUUGCAAAAGAAAAAUAAAAAAGUAACGUAAAAAUGUGUAAAACAACAAAAUAAUGUAAUAUAAUCUAAAAAUAAAUACAUAGGCUUCAAAGUAAAAAAAAUAUAUAAAAUAAUUGGUUUAUAAAAAUGGUAGCUUAUUAUAUUACACGACAACUCAUUAAUUUCAAAAAUAAACUUUUAAAGUUACCCAAAUAUAUUUUAAAUAAUAUACCAUAAUAUAACUUAAAAACAAUUAUUUGACUAUUAAGAUGUUUACAAAUAAGUUAUGAUGGUAACCAAAUUGUAUAUCAAAUUAUAUGAUAUAAAAAAAAAUAUGUAAAAAAUAACUAAUUAUUUUUUUAUCAGCAUUAUAAGUAACCAAAAUGUUACUUUUGAAAAUGUAGAUUUAAAAAAAACGGAACUAGGGAUGAAAAAUCUGAUUAUAUUGUAGAUGUACUUUAAUUGAUUGAUGUUAUUUAUAGUAUAUUGUUAGAAAAGAUAACAUGAAAAAAUGAAAUAGUAAUAGCAACAUUAUAUUUUUUUUUACGCAAAAGUAACUAAUUGGCUUCUUAUCAGGAUCAUUAAGUAACCAAAAAGUUACUUUAGAAAUGCAGAAAAACUAAAAAAAAAAAAUACAGAACAGAACAGAGCAAGUUUUGGAUCAAUUUUUAAAGUGUCGAUUUAGUUGUUCCUUUAUCUAGCAAUGAUUCUGCCUCUAUCGUUUAGGUAUUUUUGGUAGUUUGAAGAACGAUUUUGGUGUUGAACUCAUAAUCGAUCUUCUGGCGAUUGUAACCGAAGUUUUUUUGUUCAUUAAUGGAGUUUUUGUUGGGUGAGAAUAAUUUUAAAUUGUGACUUUGAUCUUAUAUAUAUAUAUAUACCUAUAUAUAACAUAGUGAAACGAUUUUGCAGAUUUGUCAGUAGUUUGAGAAACGAUUUUGAUUAUGAAUGAUUAUUUGAUAUUGUGUUGUUUGAGAUGAAGCUUUUUUGUUCGUUAAUGGAAGUUUUUUUUUUUUGAAGAAUAAUUCAAGUUCUAAUUUUGAUAUUUUAUAAUCGAAGGGAAGUAAAUUUAAAGGUUCAUUUUUGAUAUUUGUGUUCGACGCAUUGUUCAAAGGACUUAUUAAUCCCGUAAUUGGAGGAGGAAUAUGGUGUAUUUCAUGUAUUGAGAUCAAUAGUGGUAUGAGAUUAUUUUGGUUUUACGGUAAAAAUGCUGAUGUGUCACGUUAAUACAAGAACAUUAAAUUAAUUGAUGUCAAUUAUGUUAUUAAAAUGUAUAUUACGUAUACUAAUAAAAAUUUUCC